ensembl:snRNA U6 U6 spliceosomal RNA
GUGCUUGCUUCAGCAGUACAUAUACUAAAAUUGGAACGAUAAAGACUAGCACGGCCCAUGUGCAAGGAUUACAUGGGUGUUCCAUAUUUUU